rnacentral:rRNA from 1 species
UACGUAGGGUGCAGGCGUUAAUCGGAAUUACUGGGCGUAAAGCGUGCGCAGGCGGUUUGCUAAGACAGGUGUGAAAUCCCCGGGCUUAACCUGGGAACUGCGCUUGUAACUAGCAGGCUAGAGUGUGGCAGAGGGGGGUGGAAUUCCAGGUGUAGCAGUGAAAUGCGUAGAUAUCUGGAGGAAUACCGGUGGCGAAGGCGGCAUCCUGGACCGACAUUGACGCUGAACGGCGAAAGCUAGGGGAGCAAACAGG